UACGGAGGGUGCGAGCGUUGUUCGGAAUCACUGGGCGUAAAGGGCGUGUAGGUGGUAGAGUAAGUCUGGCGUGAAAUUUUUCGGCUUAACCGGGAAAGGUCGUCGGAUACUGCUUAACUAGAGGACGGUAGAGGCGUGUGGAAUUCCGGGUGUAGUGGUGAAAUGCGUAGAGAUCCGGAGGAACACCAGUGGCGAAGGCGACACGCUGGGCCGUACCUGACACUGAUGCGCGACAGCAUGGGGAGCAAACAGG
rnacentral:rRNA from 1 species